rnacentral:lncRNA from 1 species
GAAGUAGUACCUGGAUCGGCAACUCCUCGAUGUUUGUGACCACCGCUAGGUGGCAGUGGUGUCGAGCGCUAAGGACGCGGGGGAGCGGGUGCUAUUCAAAACAAUGGUCGGCGUCGCGUCGUAGGAUCGUUUGCCUUGUUUUUUGAAAAGUUAAGCCCCUUUGGAGCAGAUUGGAAGGUUUCAGAAGAUGGAGGAAGAUGGCAAGAUCAAAGAGAUGGGUUCAGUUUCCACGGUGUGCUGACUUGAAUUGGCAUCCUGUGAUUUGUGAUGUGAAUUAUGAUGCACGCACUCGCAGGUGCACGCCCACUGCGGACACGUGUGACGUGACGGCAGCAGGCAGCCGGGGUGUGAACUGUGAACUGGCUCGGCCGAAAAUGUUUAAGGUAUUACAGCGUUUGUAACUGACUAACAUACCCACUACGGGCAUACCCAUUGAGCGGAUAAUGCGUUCGUGUGCAUCGUGUUUGCAUUUAUUCCCGAUAUACUCUGGUGGUAGGUGUGAAUUGGAAACCAGCUUGGUGCUACGACACCGUUUAGUAGGCAUGUGGCACGUCGUUUCUCGAAACCUACCUAUCAGUCUAUGCAAUAAUAUGCAUUGUAUACAUUGUGUGUCAUCGUUCACAGUUGUCAUUGAACCUGUGUUAAAUUCUGAACUUCAGGCCGAGACAGACUAUUUCCACCGUCAGGAAAUCGCACACGAGAACCUAUUCAAAUCCAUUAAGUUGCAAUAGCAUCAAUCGCACGCAAGGAGGUGCGUGUUAUGGAUGCGAGUGCGACCGGGGUUUAUUUGAAUAGGCUCUCGGUCUCGCACAUGAUUUCUGACUGCGGAAAGAAUCGGUUUCAGCCUGUACUCAGUAGGCAAUUCGCUCAUGCGACGGCAAAUAUAAGUUCAAUA